rnacentral:misc_RNA from 1 species
UCCGGUUUGUCACCGGCAGUCUGGCGUGAGUCCCCAACUUAAUGCUGGCAACACGCCACGGGGGUUGCGCUCGUUGCGGGACUUAACCCAACAUCUCACGACACGAGCUGACGACAGCCAUGCAGCAUCUGUGGUGCACCCUCGAAGGUCACACGUUUCCGUGCGCUUGCAGCACCAUGUCAAGUCCAGGUAAGGUUCUUCGCGUUGCAUCGAAUUAAAGAACAUGCUCCGCUGCUUGUGCGGGCCCCCGUCAAUUCUUUUGAGUUUUAGCCUUGCGGCCGUACUCCCCAGGCGGAACACUUAUCGCGUUGGCUUCGGCACAGACAGAUUCGACUCCGCCCACACCUAGUGUUCAUCGUUUACGGCGUGGACUAC